UGCCUUUUUGUGUUGCCCAUUCUUUGCUUCCUUUAGAAGAAUGUGGUGUCAAUAAAGGCAUACAGUAAAGCCUUGGUUUGGCCUUUACCUGGUAAUACCAGUGUUACUCAGUGCAAAGCUCUGAACCAAGCACACAG